AGGUGUGAUAUUUGGGUGUCUGUGGAGGCCUCUGAGAAGAGUCUGGAGACUCCUGCGCUGCUGUGGACCUGAUCAACCUGAAAUAAAACUUUCAGUAGAAGAAACAUCACCACUAAUCCAAAGCUCCGUCCAUCCGUGGUGAAGACCAAGUUGUUUUCUUCACUGAGAUGAUCAUCUUUGAUGAAUUGAGGACCAGCCAAACAUCAGAAUUCUUGGAUCAUCAUUCAAAGUAUUUAAAGACUGGCAAUAUUGAUCUGCUUCCCUCAAGUUGUCUCCAGAGCGGAAGCACCAAUACUGAAUUUUUCCGUCCACACAUGAUGUGUAACUCUGUGCCUCAUUAACUGCUAUGCCUGUCACGAUAACAACUUUUUGUUGUGCGAUAUAUUGCCCCAGAAAUAAUCGCUAUAAGUGAUAUUAUUGUCAUUUUAAAGACUUUAUGCCACUGAAUAUAUAAUCAUAAUUUAACUGCAUAAUAAUGGAAGAAGGCCUACACACUUCCAAAUGAGAACAAACUUCAAAUUUUUUAGAAUAUUUAGAUAACUAAAAUUGAGUAUCAAAAUAUUAGAGACCUUUAAAAACUUUAAUAAAUAGUAAAUAAACAUUUAAUAAAAAGUGCAAAGUAUCUUCCAGCUAUAGAUUUUUCCCAGAGAUUCUUUUCUCUGUAAAUUAAGGGUGCACACUAUUGCUGAAAAACACAAUCACUACUUAGCAGUCCAAUGUCCGUAUGCCCAAAGUUCUGCAGAUUAAACUUUUUAAAUUUACAUUAAUUC